GCUUCCUUACUUCUUUGCUUGUUCUCUGCUUUAGCUUCCAAGGAAGGUUAUGCCCACGUCUAUGGAGUUGAAGAUUUUGAUCCCUUUGGAAACCCUUUAGACAAAUUUCACAAACGAAUCUGUUUGUGGCCAUUAGUGUCUUUGGUGAUAAGGCUAUCACUUCAGCUUCAGGAUCUGCAUCAUGCCUGGAUUUCCAGGUUGGUUUCUCUUCCUCUUCAAUGCAGGAGUGUUAUUAGAUGCACCGGUUGUGUUCUGAUGAAGAAAACCAUAUGAUAUUUCUCCACCAUCCAUUUUUUCUAGCAUCUCAAAGCAGCUUCUUAAACUAUAAGUUUGACUCAGAUUAUAAGAAAAGAAGAAGCAGUUAAAUAUGACUAAGAUAUGAGAAAGAGAAAACCCAAGAGAAUGGGGAGCUAGCCUUGUUAAUUAUAUAGUUCCAAGUUUCCAACCCUAAACAAUACAAACUGAUAUAUGCUAUAUGGAAUCCUAUGUCCUUUCCUUUCUCUCUCUCAUACGUUACAGUGUCAAUUCAAUUAUCUACUUUUUAGGUGGAAUAAAAAACUAAGAUGUUAUGGGUGGCGUUGAAAAGCUACAGGGAAGAGAGAAGAAAAGGGU